AAAUUGAAGAGUUUGAUCAUGGCUCAGAUUGAACGCUGGCGGCAGGCCUAACACAUGCAAGUCGAACGGUAACAGGAAACAGCUUGCUGUUUCGCUGACGAGUGGCGGACGGGUGAGUAAUGUCUGGGAAACUGCCCGAUGGAGGGGGAUAACUACUGGAAACGGUAGCUAAUACCGCAUAACGUCGCAAGACCAAAGAGGGGGACCUU
rnacentral:rRNA from 1 species